GCCUCCAUUUUAGCCCUAACAUGUCGAAUGAAACACACUCUCUCCCCCUCACACAACUAAACCAUUCUAAAGAUUUAGUAAAGGCGAUUGAAAAAUUUUUUAGAGCUAUAAAUAAAGUACCGCAAGGGAAAAAUGAAAUAUUAGUGAAAUAAACCAAAGCAUAAAAAAGUAGAGUCUUACUCUCGUACCUUUUGCAUCAUGAUUUAACGAGUCCAAUCGAGCAAAAAGAUUUCUAGUUCGACUUCCCGAAACUAAGUGAGCUACUUAAGGACAGCUUUCUGAGCAAACUCGUCUCUGUGGCAAAAGAGUGAGAAGAUCUUUAAGUAGAGGUGACAGACCUACCGAACUUAGUAAUAGCUGGUUGCUUAAGAAAAGGAUUUUAGUCCCGCCUAAAUUUACAUCAGUAUCACUUUAUAGGCACUUAAAUUUAGAGUAAUUCAAAUAAGGUACAGCCUAUUUGAAACAGGAUACAACCUUACCUAAUGGGUUAAGACAUUAGUUAAUAACAAAGUGGGCCUAAAAGCAGCCAUCUUUAAAACAGCGUCAAAGCUUUCUUACUUAACUUAAAAAUUUCAUAAACUAUCCCAAACCCUUAUUUAGUAUUAAGCAAUUCUAUACUCAUAUAGAAAAUUUUAUGUUAAAACUAGUAACAAGAAUUUGAAAUUCUCUCAGACACAAGUGUAAGUCAGAACUGGACCAACCACUGACAAUUAACAUAUUUAGUAACUUUAGUAUCAACGCACCAAGAGAAACGUUCUUUGAACUAUGUUAACCUAACACUAGAGCGUCACAAGAAAGAUUAAAAGAAAAAGAAGGAACUCGGCAAAAUUUAACCCCGCCUGUUUACCAAAAACAUCGCCUCUUGAAUAGUUAUAAGAGGUCCAGCCUGCCCAGUGACUUUGUUCAACGGCCGCGGUAUCCUAACCGUGCGAAGGUAGCGUAAUCACUUGUUCUUUAAAUAAGGACUUGUAUGAAUGGCAUCACGAAGGUUAUACUGUCUCCUUUUUCUAAUCAGUGAAACUAAUCUUCCCGUGAAGAAGCGGGAAUUAAAAUAUAAGACGAGAAGACCCUAUGGAGCUUUAAACUAACUAACAUUUACUUCAAUUUAUCUAAACUUCAGAGCUACAAAGAACACCCGAGUAAAAUGAUUACUAGUUUUGGGUUGGGGUGACCUUGGAGUAAAACAUAACCUCCACGUCGAAAAUUGUAACAGUUUAAGCCAAGAGUUACAACUCUAAGCAUCAAGACCUUGACGUCAAUUGACCCAAUAUUUGAUCAACGAACCAAGUUACCCUAGGGAUAACAGCGCAAUCCACUUCAAGAGCUCCUAUCGACAAGUGGGUUUACGACCUCGAUGUUGGAUCAGGGUAUCCCAGUGGUGCAGCCGCUACUAAUGGUUCGUUUGUUCAACGAUUAAAACCCU
rnacentral:rRNA from 1 species